AGAGUGGGGGGGGGCACAUGACUUUCUCCAUCACUGGGAGAGACUGGCUCUCAGAAGCCAAGCCGAGACGCACAGGCCGGGAGUCAGGCUAGUGUGUAGGUUUUCCAGGGUCCUGUCCCCAACUGAGCGUGCCCGUGGGAACAGGGCCCUCCAGCUUCCGCAAAGGCUUCCACAUCACGGGACUGGGGGGCUGGGAGCCAUUCUGGGAGGUCCCUGAAGGGAGAGAGGCAGGGUGUUCUCCUGGGUGCCGGACUUGCGGGCCUUGGACACAUAGUGCAGGGUCCUGGAAGGGAGCCCUUCCCGCCUGCGUUUCCUCAUCCGGACACGUGGGCUGCUCAGAGCCGUGGCCAGGGGUGCGAGGAAGCCGUGUGGGCAGAGAGGCGCUUCGGGUAUCUGGGAACUGGGGACUCAGAACCACUUUCUGGGUGCCUGGAGGGCACCAGUACAGUCGUGCUCCAGGCCUGGGAGAAUUGGGGCGCCCAAUGAGGCGCUCAGGCGCCUAGGGCGGUUAUGUCAGUGGGCGCUUCUUGCAUCCGGGUUCUCGGGACUUCGAAGCCCUUCUGGGAGGUUCGCAAGAGGAGGGGGACAGUCAGGCUUGCCGUGCCACACCGGACUGCUUUGGGGACUCAAGGCAUGAUUGUGGUGCCUGGGAGUCGGUCUCACCGCUCUUCCGCUUAUGGGACCUGGGGAGCUAGGAGCCAGUGGCAGACCUGGCAGGAUUAUGACAGGCUCCCCACGUUUUCUGAAUACAGGUGACUGAUUCUGGGAUGUCAAGGGCCCUUUCAUAAUGGAAAGUUUUCCCAUACUCCAGGGUUGACACCUGGCUUACUGUCUCACCUUCCACUUGGCCUGAACCUCUUGCUAGGAGCUGCUUUAAGAGCAUCCCAGACAGGCGUCUGCCAGCUCUAGGGUGAGGGCCAGUCACAAACUCCAGAGAGAGGGUGUGUCCCACAGUGUGUCCACUGUAUCCCUGCAGAGGGCCCUGCACCACGUGGGCGCCCGCUUGCAGUAUUCAGUGCUUAACCAUGUCAGUCAGUGUCACAAAGACAGAGAGCAAUGUUCUUCUUUUCUUUAGUUUUGAUUUUUUGAGACAGGGUUUCUCUGUGUAAAGGUUGGCUGCCCUGGAACUGGCUCUGUAGAACAGGCUGGCUGCGAACUCGCUCAGAUCCACCUGCCUCUGCUGCGGUAGUGCUGGCAUUAAAGGCCUGUGCCGCCACCCACCCCUCUGCUCAAGGAUCACAUUUUUAAGGGGUCCACUUAUACCACACAGUGGCUUUGCAUUCAGCAAGUACGUGGGAACCAAGUGGACUUAAGAAGCACCACUCCAUCUGGGGGCUUCCCGAAUGGUAUUGCUGCUGUGGUGCACUUGGAGGAACUCACCUGCUUCCCCUCCUUCACCUCGUAUGGACUGUGCCUUUGCUUCAGACUGUAUGAUGGGAAGGAGGCGGGGGACUCGUCCUGGGGGUAAGGUCUCCCUCAGAUUUGUAGUGGUAGGGAUCCAGGGCCACCAAGGAGGAAACAGUGUGAUCUCUGGUCCAAGACAUACACAAGCAGUCUUUGCUGUCAGCGUCGACUAGUUACGGGUGCAGACUGUGGACUCUGACUCACACGGUCACCUCAGACUUAGACUGACUGGGGUGAUAAGGUGGGGGCUCAGACUUGGCUUGGACCUGAAAGUUGGAUCUGAGAGUCAGGAGGGGUGUCGUGAGGAAGGAAGAGGAAGGAAGGCUUCAGAAUGUGUGAGAAAAUGCAGGGCUCUGCCCCUUUUGCCAGUCUCGAGAAACCCGGGCCCUGGCGACCCAGAGGUGAUACACGUUCACUUCUGUCUCCUCUCUCAGGAAGGUGAGCCUUGCACCGUGGGGGUACCACCACAGCCCAGAGGGGAGCACAAGUGCUUGCUGGAGGAGGAGCCCAUUUUCCAUCGUGAAUCCUGGGUUGAUAUCAGAUCAGCAGUGGCAGCCAGGUCUGGAGAGCAGAGGGAUUCUGCAGGGUGUGGACCUCCCCUGAGGACUGACUCUGAAGCAGAGAGCAAAAGGACUGCACAGACUGGGGCCUGGCAUGCGUGACUUCACUAGAGUGGGAGACCUUGUCUGAGCACGGCCCUUGCUUAAGUGAGCGCCUGGGAAGUUCCAGGAAAGAAUCCCAGGGGGUUAGUGAAGGAGAAUCCACUCCAGACCCCAGACGGCAGCCCCACAAGAGACUUCCCUGAAGCAGUGUCUGUCUCACAACAGCCCCGGACAGGGCUGCGAGGCUGAGCCCCUGCUCUGGUUCCAGUCAGUGCUCUAAGGGAGCUGAAGGACCUACCUCAACCUGGGUCAUCAGAGGAAGGCUUGGGUCUGUGAGGGCUCCUGGUGAGAGCAGUAGUCUCUUCCCUUAAAGACCUUGGACCCGGAGAUCCCAGGGAAGCUCCUCAACUAGCCAUUCAUCAAGGCCUGUGAGUCUUCAUCUCUGUGACCUGCACUGUGUCCUGCCUGUGUUCCCAAGGAAUCUCAGCAUGGAUCCUACUGAGAACAGCCAGACCUUCAACGUCCCUGACAACACUCGGUCCCAAAG